rnacentral:pre_miRNA from 14 species
AGACCGCCGCGCAGAAGGUUGGUGGCUGUGCAUUAUUACUUUUGGUACGCGCUGUGUCACAUCAAACUCGUACCGUGAGUAAUAAUGCGCAGCUGCCAAUAAUGCCGACAAGGAUGCUC